AACGACUCUCGGCAACGGAUAUCUCGGCUGUCGCAUCGAUGAAGAACGUAGCGAAAUGCGAUACUUGGUGUGAAUUGCAGAAUCCCGUGAACCAUCGAGUCUUUGAACSCAAGUUGCGCCCGAAGCCAUUAGGCCGAGGGCACGUCUGGYUGGGUGUCACACAACG
rnacentral:rRNA from 1 species